UACGAAGGGGGCUAGCGUUGCUCGGAAUCACUGGGCGUAAAGGGUGCGUAGGCGGGUUUUUAAGUCAGAGGUGAAAUCCUGGAGCUCAACUCCAGAACUGCCUUUGAUACUGAAAGUCUUGAGUAUGGGAGAGGUGAGUGGAACUGCGAGUGUAGAGGUGGAAUUCGUAGAUAUUCGCAAGAACACCAGUGGCGAAGGCGGCUCACUGGCCCAUUACUGACGCUGAGGCACGAAAGCGUGGGGAGCAAACAGG
rnacentral:rRNA from 1 species